ensembl:processed_transcript
GUGUGUGUGUGUGUGUGUGUGUGUGUGUGUGUGUGUGUGUGUGUGUGUGUGUGUGUGUGUGUGUGUGUGUGUGUGUGUGUGUGUGUGUGUGUGUGUGUGUGUUGGUUUAUGUGAUUUACGAAGACAUUUCAUAUGAAUACACGCCACAUUAUGAGGACAUUUUCAAUUAUGAGGACAUGGUCGGAGUCCUCAUAAUUUUAGCAAUGUAGAAGUGCUUCUUUAAUGUAGAAGAGCUCAAAUCCAAAAUUUCUCCACAUGACUUUAUAGUUCACAUAAACCUGAUUUUGUGUAUUACGUGUGUAUUCGACAUGCGCCCCUGUAGCCCGGACUGAGUACUGCAUCCCCUCAUUAAUUAUGCAUGCGAGUGUAUGAAAUCGCGGCAUGUGAUUGGCUGACCAUCAAACGUCCUCAUAAUAACUGUAUCUGUCAAACAUCUGUGUAAACAAUAAUGAUUAAAAAAUAGUUUUAAAUAUGUAUAAAUAUGAAUUACGUUCUAAUUAAAUAAUAAAAAUCCCCCACUACCUUUAUAAGAUCAA